GACGAACGCUGGCGGCGUGCUUAACACAUGCAAGUCGAGCGGAAAGGCCCUUCGGGGUACUCGAGCGGCGAACGGGUGAGUAACACGUGAGUAACCUGCCCCAGACUUUGGGAUAACCCUCGGAAACGGGGGCUAAUACCGGAUACGACACAGCUUCGCAUGGGGUCUGUGUGGAAAGUUUUUCGGUUUGGGAUGGGCUCGCGGCCUAUCAGCUUGUUGGUGGGGUGAUGGCCUACCAAGGCGACGACGGGUAGCCGGCCUGCGAGGGCGAACGGCCACACUGGGACUGAGACACGGCCCAGACUCCUACGGGAGGCAGCAGUGGGGAAUAUUGCACAAUGGGCGGAAGCCUGAUGCAGCGACGCCGCGUGAGGGAUGACGGCCUUCGGGUUGUAAACCUCUUUCAGCAGGGACGAAGCGUAAGUGACGUUACCUGCAGAAGAAGCGCCGGCCAACUACGUG
rnacentral:rRNA from 1 species